rnacentral:rRNA from 1 species
UACGUAGGGGGCAAGCGUUGUCCGGAAUCAUUGGGCGUAAAGAGCGUGUAGGUGGCUCGGUAAGUCCGCUGUGAAAGUCCAGGGCUCAACCCUGGAAAGCCGGUGGAAACUGUCGAGCUCGAGUCCGGAAGAGGCGAGUGGAAUUCCUGGUGUAGCGGUGAAAUGCGCAGAUAUCAGGAGGAACACCAAUGGCAAAGGCAGCUCGCUGGGACGGUACUGACACUGAGACGCGAAAGCGUGGGGAGCAAACAGG